rnacentral:rRNA from 1 species
GAUGAACGCUGGCGGUAUGCUUAACACAUGCAAGUCGAACGGACUCUUCGGAGUUUGUGGCGGACGGGUGAGUAACGCGUGGGAAUCUGGCCUUGGGUUCGGGACAACUACUGGAAACGGUUGCUAAUACCGGAUGUGCCGAGAGGUAAAAGAGAAAUUGCCUGAAGAUGAGCUCGCGUCUGAUUAGCUAGUUGGUGUGGUAAAGGCUCACCAAGGCAGCGAUCAGUAGCUGGUCUGAGAGGAUGACCAGCCACACUGGGACUGAGACACGGCCCAGACUCCUACGGGAGGCAGCAGUGGGGAAUUUUCCGCAAUGGGCGAGAGCCUGGCGGAGCAAUACCGCGUGAGGGAAGCAGGCUCUUGGGUAGUAAACCUCUUUUCUUAGGGAAGAACAAAAUGACGGUACCUAAGGAAUCAGCAUCGGCUAACUCCGUG